rnacentral:rRNA from 1 species
AAAGAUGGGUUCUGCUAUCACUCUUGGAUGGACCUGCGGUGCAUUAGCUAGUUGGUAAGGUAACGGCUUACCAAGGCAAUGAUGCAUAGCCGAGUUGAGAGACUGAUCGGCCACAUUGGGACUGAGACACGGCCCAAACUCCUACGGGAGGCAGCAGUAGGGAAUCUUCCACAAUGGACGCAAGUCUGAUGGAGCAACGCCGCGUGAGUGAAGAAGGGUUUCGGCUCGCAAAGCUCUGUUGGUAGUGAAGAAAGAUAGAGGUAGUAACUGGCCUUUAUUUGACGGUAAUUACCUAGAAGGUCACGGCUAACUACGUGCCAGCAGCCGCGGUAAUACGUAGGUGGCAAGCGUUGUCCGGAUUUAUUGGGCGUAAAGCGAGUGCAGGCGGUUCAAUAAGUCUGAUGUGAAAGCCUUCGGCUCAACCGGAGAAUUGCAUCAGAAACUGUUGAACUUGAGUGCAGAAGAGGAGAGUGGAACUCCAUGUGUAGCGGUGGAAUGCGUAGAUAUAUGGAAGAACACCAGUGGCGAAGGCGGCUCUCUGGUCUGCAACUGACGCUGAGGCUCGAAAGCAUGGGUAGCGAACAGGAUUAGAUACCCUGGUAGUCCAUGCCGU